GACGAACGCUGGCGGCGCGCCUAACACAUGCAAGUCGAACGAGCGAGAGAGAGCUUGCUUUCUCGAGCGAGUGGCGAACGGGUGAGUAACGCGUGAGGAACCUGCCUCAAAGAGGGGGACAACAGUUGGAAACGACUGCUAAUACCGCAUAAGCCCACGGGUCGGCAUCGAUCUGAGGGAAAAGGAGCAAUCCGCUUUGAGAUGGCCUCGCGUCCGAUUAGCUAGUUGGUGAGGUAACGGCCCACCAAGGCGACGAUCGGUAGCCGGACUGAGAGGUUGAACGGCCACAUUGGGACUGAGACACGGCCCAGACUCCUACGGGAGGCAGCAGUGGGGAAUAUUGCACAAUGGGGGAAACCCUGAUGCAGCGACGCCGCGUGGAGGAAGAAGGUCUUCGGAUUGUAAACUCCUGUUGUUGAGGAAGAUAAUGACGGUACUCAACAAGGAAGUGACGGCUAACUACGUGCCAGCAGCCGCGGUAAAACGUAGGUCACAAGCGUUGUCCGGAAUUACUGGGUGUAAAGGGAGCGCAGGCGGGAGAACAAGUUGGAAGUGAAAUCCAUGGGCUCAACCCAUGAACUGCUUUCAAAACUGUUUUUCUUGAGUAGUGCAGAGGUAGGCGGAAUUCCCGGUGUAGCGGUGGAAUGCGUAGAUAUCGGGAGGAACACCAGUGGCGAAGGCGGCCUACUGGGCACCAACUGACGCUGAGGCUCGAAAGUGUGGGUAGCAAACAGGAUUAGAUACCCUGGUAGUCCACACCGUAAACGAUGAUUACUAGGUGUUGGAGGAUUGACCCCUUCAGUGCCGCAGUUAACACAAUAAGUAAUCCACCUGGGGAGUACGACCGCAAGGUUGAAACUCAAAGGAAUUGACGGGGGCCCGCACAAGCAGUGGAGUAUGUGGUUUAAUUCGACGCAACGCGAAGAACCUUACCAAGUCUUGACAUCCCUUGACGAUGCUGGAAACAGUAUUUCUCUUCGGAGCAAGGAGACAGGUGGUGCAUGGUUGUCGUCAGCUCGUGUCGUGAGAUGUUGGGUUAAGUCCCGCAACGAGCGCAACCCUUAUGGUCAGUUACUACGCAAGAGGACUCUGGCCAGACUGCCGUUGACAAAACGGAGGAAGGUGGGGAUGACGUCAAAUCAUCAUGCCCUUUAUGACUUGGGCUACACACGUACUACAAUGGCGUUAAACAAAGAGAAGCAAGACCGCGAGGUGGAGCAAAACUCAGAAACAACGUCCCAGUUCGGACUGCAGGCUGCAACUCGCCUGCACGAAGUCGGAAUUGCUAGUAAUCGUGGAUCAGCAUGCCACGGUGAAUACGUUCCCGGGCCU
rnacentral:rRNA from 1 species